AUUGAACGCUGGCGGCAGGCCUAACACAUGCAAGUCGAACGGUAACAGGAAGAAGCUUGCUUCUUUGCUGACGAGUGGCGGACGGGUGAGUAAUGUCUGGGGAACUGCCUGAUGGAGGGGGAUAACUACUGGAAACGGUAGCUAAUACCGCAUAACGUCGCAAGACCAAAAAGGGGGACCUUCGGGCCUCUUGCCAUCGGAUGUGCCCAGAUGGGAUUAGCUAGUAGGUGGGGUAACGGCUCACCUAGGCGACGAUCCCUAGCUGGUCUGAGAGGAUGACCAGCCACACUGGAACUGAGACACGGUCCAGACUCCUACGGGAGGCAGCAGUGGGGAAUAUUGCACAAAGGGCGCAAGCCUGAUGCAGCCAUGCCGCGUGUAUGAAGAAGGCCUUCGGGUUGUAAAGUACUUUCAGCGGGGAGGAAGGGAGUAAAGUUAAUACCUUUGCUCAUUGACGUUACCCGCAGAAGAAGCACCGGCUAACUCCGUG
rnacentral:rRNA from 1 species